rnacentral:tRNA from 1 species
GGAGAGAUGGCAGAGUGGUCGAUUGCACCGGUCUUGAAAACCGGCGUACUGCAAGGUACCGGGGGUUCGAAUCCCUCUCUCUCCGCCA